rnacentral:rRNA from 1 species
UACGGAGGGUGCAAGCGUUAUCCGGAUUUACUGGGUUUAAAGGGUGUGUAGGCGGGCUAUUAAGUCAGUGGUGAAAUCUCCGGGCUCAACCCGGAAACUGCCAUUGAUACUAUUAGUCUUGAAUUUUGUUGAGGUAGGCGGAAUAAGUCAUGUAGCGGUGAAAUGCAUAGAUAUGACUUAGAACACCAAUUGCGAAGGCAGCUUGCUAAACAAAUAUUGACGCUGAGGCACGAAAGCGUGGGGAGCGAACAGG